AGCAGAUCACUCGAGGCAUGCUGAGACCAUGAAUUAACAUUUCUAUCACUUAUGAAAGUUACAACAUCUUCCGUUGAAAAUGGAAUAGAAGUUGGCAGUAUAUCAGAUCAAUCAAGGCACGCUGAGACACGAAUUCACAUUUCUACCACCAGGGAAAGUAUCAACAUCCUAUGUUGAAAAUGGACUAGAAGAUACUGAUAAUAAUAUUGGAUUUAUGCAAUGUGCGUGCAAUGGUUAUUGAAUAUAAUUGAUACUAAAUUAAUAGCUGUGAAACAAUUGAGAUUUGUUAAAUAUCUGAAUAAAAUAAUAGUAAACACCUUUA